rnacentral:rRNA from 1 species
UGUUUCGGCUAGGGGGCCAUCCCGGCUUACCAACCCGAUGCAAACUGCGAAUACCGGAGAAUGUUAUCACGGGAGACACACGGCGGGUGCUAACGUCCGUCGUGAAGAGGGAAACAACCCAGACCGCCAGCUAAGGUCCCAAAGUCAUGGUUAAGUGGGAAACGAUGUGGGAAGGCCCAGACAGCCAGGAUGUUGGCUUAGAAGCAGCCAUCAUUUAAAGAAAGCGUAAUAGCUCACUGGUCGAGUCGGCCUGCGCGGAAGAUGUAAC